rnacentral:rRNA from 1 species
CCUACGGGAGGCAGCAGUGGGGAAUAUUGCACAAUGGGGGAAACCCUGAUGCAGCGACGCCGCGUGAGUGAAGAAGUAAUUCGGUAUGUAAAGCUCUAUCAGCAGGGAAGAAAAUGACGGUACCUGAGCAAGAAGCCCCGGCUAACUACGUGCCAGCAGCCGCGGGAAUACGUAGGGGGCAAGCGUUAUCCGGAUUUACUGGGUGUAAAGGGAGCGUAGACGGCUGUGCAAGUCUGGAGUGAAAGGCGGGGGCUCAACCCCCGGACUGCUCUGGAAACUGUACAGCUGGAGUGCAGGAGAGGUAAGUGGAAUUCCUGGUGUAGCGGUGAAAUGCGUAGAUAUUAGGAGGAACACCAGUGGCGAAGGCGGCUUGCUGGACUGAAACUGACGUUGAGGCUCGAAAGCGUGGGGAGCAAACAGGAUUAGAUACCCCAGUAGUC